AUAAAAUGGGAAGCCCUACUGCUUAGUCACCACCCAUCUUCUCCAAGAGAAAAGAAGAGAAAAAAAACAAGAGCCAGUAAGGCUCCCCACGCAUCAUUCUUUUUUUAGUAACAUUAAUAUUUGCAUUUGGUUGUCUUUACCAAGUAAUUCAGAGACAUGGGAUCGGAGAGCUCUCAGCCGUCUUCUCCUCCUCCUCCUCCUCCUCCUCCUCCUCAUCCUCCUCCUCCUCCUCCUCAACCACGUGGAGGUAAAGAACCAGCCAUAGACUAUCAGGUGGAUAUUAAUUCGACAUCGAUGCUCUACACAGUAAAAGGCUUCCCAUAGGCAAAUGGUGAAGUGGUUCAUACAUAGGACAUCUUAUAUAUCGCGGU
rnacentral:lncRNA from 1 species